rnacentral:lncRNA from 1 species
AAGAUGCAAAUGUUGGAUAUAUUUGUACAGCAGCUAAAAGUACUCUAAUACUACAUAUUAUGAAAUCACCACGUACCCCAAAAUAUUAACAAAAUUCUUGCAAUAUUUGUAGGAGAACUGCUGGAUUUUGCUUUCUUAACUCUUUUGCUGUUGCUACUGAAAAAAGAGAGUAACUUGGACAAUGAAAUAAUCUCAAAUGAGGUGGCUUUAUUUUUGCAUAUGUUGGAGGUCCUCUGUGAAUCACUGUGUGCAGAGAAUGCUUCUUUGUAAGAAGAUGGAAUAGUUUUUGUGACUGGUUACUGUCCCACUGUCCUUCCACCAGUGGCUUGGUCCCCUGUGAUCUGGGAGCUCAUCCUUGCAGGCAGCUCCAAGUGACAGAGUGGCCUCAGUGUGUGACAACUGAUAUCCAGAUGCUGGCAGUGCUUGGAAGAAGUUGCUGUACAUUCCUUCAAGGAUUAGACAGCACUUGCACAGAUACGUGGGUUAAGGUGGCGCAUGAAGACACCAUUAGAAGGACACUUGGAAAAGGCGACCCAUUUUGCCAAUCUUCAUCAACCUUAUUGUAUUUCAGGGCUUUCAUGAAAAAGUGCAUCUUGGCAGCGGGUCUACUGGAGAUAGUGGAUCUGCAAAGAAGAUCCAGUUCUGAUGAAAUUUACUCAAAUUUAUCUGAAGCCGAAUUGAAGAUUCUGCAUCCUGGCCAGUGA